rnacentral:rRNA from 1 species
AUUGAACGCUGGCGGCAUGCUUUACACAUGCAAGUCGAACGGUAACAGGCCGCAAGGUGCUGACGAGUGGCGAACGGGUGAGUAAUGCAUCGGAACGUGCCCAGUCGUGGGGGAUAACGCAGCGAAAGCUGCGCUAAUACCGCAUACGAUCUAUGGAUGAAAGCGGGGGAACGUAAGGCCUCGCGCGAUUGGAGCGGCCGAUGUCAGAUUAGGUAGUUGGUGGGGUAAAGGCUCACCAAGCCAACGAUCUGUAGCUGGUCUGAGAGGACGACCAGCCACACUGGGACUGAGACACGGCCCAGACUCCUACGGGAGGCAGCAGUGGGGAAUUUUGGACAAUGGGCGCAAGCCUGAUCCAGCAAUGCCGCGUGCAGGAAGAAGGCCUUCGGGUUGUAAACUGCUUUUGUACGGAACGAAAAGGCUCUGGUUAAUACCUGGGGCUCAUGACGGUACCGUAAGAAUAAGCACCGGCUAACUACGUGCCAGCCGCCGCAGUAAAAC